GACAACAUGUCCGAGUGGUUAAGGAGUCAGACUUGAAAUCUGAUGGCUUCGGCCGCGUAGGUUCGAACCCUGCUGUUGUCG